CUCGGCGGGGCUCGUGUUCAGCACCAGCACCAGGCUGGCGGGUUCGCAGUAAAGGCGGAGGAAGCGCAGCAGCAAGCGAUCGAUGCCGAGCCCGCGGGCGCAGACCACCAGCCCGUCCUGAUGGAACAGGUCCAGGAAGAUCUGGCUCUCGUGCUCCAGCAGCGCCGCCAUCGCCGCCCCGCGACUGUUGCAACGGCGCUUGCGCGCGAGCCGAGCGCCCGCGCCCGAAUCUGCGAGGCGAGCAGCGCUCGACGGCGCCCCCUGCCGGGCUGAGCGGGCGAUCCUCCCGCGUGAAGCGCGGCUGCCUCGCGCGGGGCGGCAGUGUGCGGGCGGUGCUGGUGGCGGUGCCCCGCGUCCGGCCCUGCUCGGCCCAGGCUGGAGGACCUGUGAGCCACCGGUGUGGAAAAUGAGUGAGGUGGGCGUACUGACUGCAGAUGUGAAACGCGGG
rnacentral:lncRNA from 1 species